rnacentral:rRNA from 1 species
AUGAGUCGUCCUGAUGGCAUCAACAUCCCCAAUGACAAGUUCUACCUAGGAUAUGUUGGCUAUGCAUGUCGGCCAGGUGUUCUUCCACCCUUCAGGAAAACCAGAUAUCAUCUGAACGAGUUCGCUGGUAGGAACUAUCCUAGGACUCCACAGGAGUUGCUUAAUCUCAGACACUCCAGCCUUAGAGUUACUAUUGAGAGGGCAUUUGAAGCUCUGAAGAAGAAGUUUAAGAUCCUGGAUCAUAAGUCGUUCCACACUUUUACCCAGGUUAAGUUUGUUCCUACUUGUUGCAUUAUGCAUAACUGGAUUCUGCAAUGGGGUUGUGAUGAACUGGUGCCUGAGGAGAAAGAUGUGACGCCUCACGAUGUUGUCAGCUCCUGCCAUGGUGUGGAGGCAUUUGACAACGAAGUUUGGAGGAACAAAAGGAUGGAGUGGGCACAGGGAAUGUGA